rnacentral:misc_RNA from 1 species
CACACUCCAAGCGAAGCUUGAUGUUGGACGAUGCGGUCUCACUUUGGAGACUGCACGUCUGGAACGCGUGGGCACCCACCGCCAGACCACGAGCGUAGCAAGACAUUUUCGUCAAUUCGUUCUGUGGGCUCUGACGGAGGGCGGCCUCAUAGAUUUUCUGUCUCAGAA